UAAUGGUGCUCCCAAAUCCCACCUCUUGGGCCUCCCAUCCCAUUCUUUUUGGUCCCCUCAGGCAUCUCCUCCCCAGGAUCUGCUCUGUGUCCUACCCAGGGUCCCCAAACAUCCUCCCACUGAUCAUUCCCAAAGCUUUUCUUUCCAUCCUUCCCCUCAGACCUUUGCCUUUCACCCAGGCCACUGCCCUGGUACCUCCCAAGACCAUUCCUUGCCUCCCUCUCCACUCCCAACCAUCUCCCAGUCCCCUCAUUUUUGUCCUCCUCCAUCCUCCUCCUCCUGUCCCCACCAAGCCUCUCCCUUGCAGUCCCCAUGUCCCUACACUUGAAUUCCUUUCCCCUCCCCUGCAUCCCACACAGGGCCCCUUCAACACCCCAAUCCCAGUCCCGUGGGCUCCCCAGUUCCCCCCAGUUCAGCAUCUUUGGGUCCCCCCCAACCUCCCCCCACCCUCCCUGCAGGCCCUGAAUUCCCCUGGCUCUCCUUGUCUCCAUCCCCACCCUGGGCCCUGCAGGCACAGGGGUUGGAGGUGAAACUGGGUGCAGUGGGAGCAGGGGGAGCAGAAGGGAUUUUCCCCCUCAGACGGGGGCAGCCCUGGGCUGGGGGGCUGGGGACACCCGUGUCCCUCCCCCAGCCCCACAGGGGCCAAUCCUGCUUAAACCUUUGCUCUCCUUGCCCAGGCACUCUUGGCAGGAACCCAAAAUGAUCUGCAGGUGGAUUUAGUGGAAGUUGGGAUCCUGAAGACGGCUCAGCCCCCUGUGGUUGAGAAGGUGGUGGGGCUUGUUCGUGAGAAACGUGUGGCUGCAUCCCUGGAUGUCUGAGG